AGAGUUUGAUCCUGGCUCAGGAUGAACGCUAGCUACAGGCUUAACACAUGCAAGUCGAGGGGCAGCAUGGUCUUAGCUUGCUAAGGCCGAUGGCGACCGGCGCACGGGUGAGUAACACGUAUCCAACCUGCCGUCUACUCUUGGACAGCCUUCUGAAAGGAAGAUUAAUACAAGAUGGCAUCAUGAGUCCGCAUGUUCACAUGAUUAAAGGUAUUCCGGUAGACGAUGGGGAUGCGUUCCAUUAGAUAGUAGGCGGGGUAACGGCCCACCUAGUCUUCGAUGGAUAGGGGUUCUGAGAGGAAGGUCCCCCACAUUGGAACUGAGACACGGUCCAAACUCCUACGGGAGGCAGCAGUGAGGAAUAUUGGUCAAUGGGCGAGAGCCUGAACCAGCCAAGUAGCGUGAAGGAUGACUGCCCUAUGGGUUGUAAACUUCUUUUAUAAAGGAAUAAAGUCGGGUAUGGAUACCCGUUUGCAUGUACUUUAUGAAUAAGGAUCGGCUAACUCCGUGCCAGCAGCCGCGGUAAUACGGAGGAUCCGAGCGUUAUCCGGAUUUAUUGGGUUUAAAGGGAGCGUAGAUGGAUGUUUAAGUCAGUUGUGAAAGUUUGCGGCUCAACCGUAAAAUUGCAGUUGAUACUGGAUAUCUUGAGUGCAGUUGAGGCAGGCGGAAUUCGUGGUGUAGCGGUGAAAUGCUUAGAUAUCACGAAGAACUCCGAUUGCGAAGGCAGCCUGCUAAGCUGCAACUGACAUUGAGGCUCGAAAGUGUGGGUAUCAAACAGGAUUAGAUACCCUGGUAGUCCACACGGUAAACGAUGAAUACUCGCUGUUUGCGAUAUACAGCAAGCGGCCAAGCGAAAGCGUUAAGUAUUCCACCUGGGGAGUACGCCGGCAACGGUGAAACUCAAAGGAAUUGACGGGGGCCCGCACAAGCGGAGGAACAUGUGGUUUAAUUCGAUGAUACGCGAGGAACCUUACCCGGGCUUAAAUUGCAGAUGAAUUACGGUGAAAGCCGUAAGCCGCAAGGCAUCUGUGAAGGUGCUGCAUGGUUGUCGUCAGCUCGUGCCGUGAGGUGUCGGCUUAAGUGCCAUAACGAGCGCAACCCUUGUUGUCAGUUACUAACAGGUUCCGCUGAGGACUCUGACAAGACUGCCAUCGUAAGAUGUGAGGAAGGUGGGGAUGACGUCAAAUCAGCACGGCCCUUACGUCCGGGGCUACACACGUGUUACAAUGGGGGGUACAGAGGGCCGCUACCACGCGAGUGGAUGCCAAUCCCCAAAACCUCUCUCAGUUCGGACUGGAGUCUGCAACCCGACUCCACGAAGCUGGAUUCGCUAGUAAUCGCGCAUCAGCCACGGCGCGGUGAAUACGUUCCCGGGCCUUGUACACACCGCCCGUCAAGCCAUGGGAGCCGGGGGUACCUGAAGUGCGUAACCGCGAGGAGCGCCCUAGGGUAAAACUGGUGACUGGGGCUAAGUCGUAACAAGGUAGCCGUACCGGAAGGUGCGGCUG
rnacentral:rRNA from 2 species